AGAUGAAGCAUUUCUACGAGUCCAGCGUUUAGAAGAGUCUCUCAAAGAGCUAGAAAAUAUUAACCCUGAAGAAAAUGACAUGACAUUACAGGAAUUACUGAACAGAAUAAACAAUGCAGACACAGGGACAGAUAUACUGAAGAACGGAGCUAUAAUUCUGAAUCGAAUACACAGGACCAAAGAACGUAAAAAGAAAAUAAUAGCUGAGGAAAUGAAUGCGGUAAUAGAACAACGGGAUGCUGCUUUGUCUCAAUGCAAACGGCUGGAGCAGGAGCUUCAUCAUCUGAA